UACAGAGGGUGCGAGCGUUGUCCGGAAUUAUUGGGCGUAAAGAGCUUGUAGGCGGUUUGUCGCGUCUGCCGUGAAAUUUCGAGGCUCAACCUCGAACUUGCGGUGGGUACGGGCAGACUAGAGUGUGGUAGGGGAGACUGGAAUUCCUGGUGUAGCGGUGAAAUGCGCAGAUAUCAGGAGGAACACCGAUGGCGAAGGCAGGUCUCUGGGCCACUACUGACGCUGAGAAGCGAAAGCAUGGGGAGCGAACAGG
rnacentral:rRNA from 1 species